UGACCGACGAUGACAUGGACAGCCACGUGGCUUUUUUUACAAGCUGGCAAGCCACGUUAUCAAAACGACAUAGUUUUGAUAUUUUGAAGAAUUAAAAAAAANAUUCCGACAGGUAGUCCGGCGAGCCAUUCCAAAAUCCGGCGAGCCAUCACCAUUUCCAGAAUCCGGCGAAAUACAACCACAACCACCAUUUUCCCUCACCUCCACCAUAACCACCACCACAAAAAUCUCCAGAAUCCGGCGAGCAAUCAC
rnacentral:lncRNA from 1 species